GCUGCAUGCUUUAUACAUGCAAGUCGAACGGAGGCCCUAGCUUGCUAGGUGUCCUUAGUGGCGCACGGGUGAGUAACACGUGGGAACAUACCUUAUAGUACGGAAUAACUGCGGGAAACUGUAGCUAAUACCGUAUACUCCAGCAAUGGGAAAGAUUUAUCGCUAUAAGAUUGGCCCGCGCAAGAUUAGCUUGUUGGUGAGGUAAAAGCUCACCAAGGCUUCGAUCUUUAGCUGGUUUGAGAGGACGAUCAGCCACACUGGGACUGAGACACGGCCCAGACUCCUACGGGAGGCAGCAGUAGGGAAUAUUGGACAAUGGGGGCAACCCUGAUCCAGCAAUGCAGCGUGAGUGACGAAGGCCUUAGGGUUGUAAAACUCUUUCAUCGGUGAGGAUAAUGACAGUAGCCGAAGAAGAAGGACCGGCUAAUUCCGUGCCAGCAGCCGCGGUAAUACGGAAGGUCCUAGCGUUGUUCGGAAUUACUGGGCGUAAAGCGCAUGUAGGCGGAACAGAAAGUUAGAAGUGAAAUCCCUGGGCUCAACCUAGGAAUUGCUUUUAAAACUUCUGUUCUGGAAUUCAGGAGAGGAAAAUGGAAUUUCCAGUGUAGAGGUGAAAUUCGUAGAUAUUGGAAGGAACACCAGUGGCGAAGGCGAUUUUCUGGACUGAUAUUGACGCUGAGAUGCGAAGGCAUGGGUAGCAAACGGGAUUAGAUACCCCGGUAGUCCAUGCAGUAAACGAUGGGUGCUAGUCGUCGGACUUUUGUUCGGUGUCGUAGCUAACGCGUUAAGCACCCCGCCUGGGGAGUACGG
rnacentral:rRNA from 1 species